CCUACGGGCGGCAGCAGUGGGGGAUAUUGCACAAUGGGGGGAACCCUGAUGCAGCGACGCCGCGUGGGUGAAGAAGCGCCUCGGCGCGUAAAGCCCUGUCAGCAGGGAAGAAAAUGACGGUACCUGCAGAAGAAGCACCGGCUAACUAGGUGCCAGCAGCCGCGGUAAUACGUAGGGGGCAAGCGUUAUCCGGAUUUACUGGGUGUAAAGGGGGCGCAGACGGCGAUGCAAGCCAGGAGUGAAAGCCCGGUGCCCAACCCCGGGACUGCUCUUGGAACUGCGUGGCUGGAGUGCAGGAGGGGCAGGCGGAAUUCCUUGUGUAGCGGUGAAAUGCGUAGAUAUCAGGAGGAACACCGGUGGCGAAGGCGGACUGCUGGACUGCAACUGACGUUGAGGCCCGAAAGCGUGGGGAGCAAACAGGAUUAGAUACCCUGGUAGUC
rnacentral:rRNA from 1 species